rnacentral:rRNA from 1 species
CCUACGGGCUGCACCAGUGGGGAAUAUUGCACAAUGGGCGCAAGCCUGAUGCAGCCAUGCCGCGUGUAUAAAGAAGGCCUUCGGGUUGUAAAGUACUUUCAGCGGGGAGGAAGGUGUUGUGGUUAAUAACCACAGCAAUUGACGUUACCCGCAGAAGAAGCACCGGCUAACUCCGUGCCAGCAGCCGCGGUAAUACGGAGGGUGCAAGCGUUAAUCGGAAUUACUGGGCGUAAAGCGCACGCAGGCGGUCUGUCAAGUCGGAUGUGAAAUCCCCGGGUUCAACCUGGGAACUGCAUUCGAAACUGGCAGGCUAGGGUCUUGUUGAGGGGGGUAGAAUUCCAGGUGUAGCGGUGAAAUGCGUAGAGAUCUGGAGGAAUACCGGUGGCGAAGGCGGCCCCCUGGACAAAGACUGACGCUCAGGUGCGAAAGCGUGGGGAGCAAACAGGAUUAGAUACCCUCGUAGUC